GACUUCAACUGUUUUCAGACCCUGAAGCAUUCCUAUAUAACAUAGAAAAAGUCUACGAAAAUAUCAGUGGUGGAACAAGGUCAAAUUCGACCCUCAAGGUCAUAGGGGUCAUCUUCGCUUUCGAAAUCUUAGACGGAAAUGCAAGCUUUUUUGUAAUCU